GACGAACGCUGGCGGCGUGCUUAACACAUGCAAGUCGAAUGAAGAGCGAUGGAAGCUUGCUUCUAUCAAUCUUAGUGGCGAACGGGUGAGUAACGCGUAAUCAACCUGCCCUUCAGAGGGGGACAACAGUUGGAAACGACUGCUAAUACCGCAUACGAUCUAAUCUCGGCAUCGAGGAUAGAUGAAAGGUGGCCUCUACAUGUAAGCUAUCACUGAAGGAGGGGAUUGCGUCUGAUUAGCUAGUUGGAGGGGUAACGGCCCACCAAGGCGAUGAUCAGUAGCCGGUCUGAGAGGAGGAACGGCCACAUUGGGACUGAGACACGGCCCAGACUCCUACGGGAGGCAGCAGUGGGGAAUCUUCCGCAAUGGACGAAAGUCUGACGGAGCAACGCCGCGUGAGCGAUGACGGCCUUCGGGUUGUAAAGCUCUGUUAAUCGGGACGAAAGGCCUUCUUGCGAAUAGGGAGAAGGAUUGACGGUACCGGAAGAGAAAGCCACGGCUAACUACGUG
rnacentral:rRNA from 1 species